rnacentral:rRNA from 1 species
CCUACGGGAGGCAGCAGUAGGGAAUCUUCCACAAUGGACGAAAGUCUGAUGGAGCAACGCCGCGUGAGUGAAGAAGGUUCUCGGAUCGUAAAACUCUGUUGUGAGGGAAGAACAAGUACCGGAGUAACUGCCGGUACCUUGACGGUACCUCAUUAGGAAGCCACGGCUAACUACGUGCCAGCAGCCGCGGUAAUACGUAGGUGGCAAGCGUUGUCCGGAAUCAUUGGGCGUAAAGCGCGCGCAGGCGGCCCCUUAAGUCUGAUGUGAAAGCCCACGGCUCAACCGUGGAGGGUCAUUGGAAACUGGGGGACUUGAGUGCAGAAGAGGAAAGCGGAAUUCCAAGUGUAGCGGUGAAAUGCGUAGAGAUUUGGAGGAACACCAGUGGCGAAGGCGGCUUUCUGGUCUGUAACUGGCGCUGAGGCGCGAAAGCGUGGGGAGCAAACAGGAUUAGAUACCCUGGUAGUCCACGCCGUAAACGAUGAGUGCUAAGUGUUAGGGGGUUUCCGCCCCUUAGUGCUGCAGCUAACGCAUUAAGCACUCCGCCUGGGGAGUACGGUCGCAAGACUGAAACUCAAAGGAAUUGACGG